rnacentral:rRNA from 1 species
CCUACGGGAGGCAGCAGUGAGGAAUAUUGGUCAAUGGACGAGAGUCUGAACCAGCCAAGUAGCGUGAAGGAUGACUGCCCUAUGGGUUGUAAACUUCUUUUAUAUGGGAAUAAAACGUUCCACGUGUGGGAUUUUGUAUGUACCAUAUGAAUAAGGAUCGGCUAACUCCGUGCCAGCAGCCGCGGUAAUACGGAGGAUCCGAGCGUUAUCCGGAUUUAUUGGGUUUAAAGGGAGCGUAGGUGGAUUGUUAAGUCAGUUGUGAAAGUUUGCGGCUCAAACGUAAAAUUGCAGUUGAAACUGGCAGUCUUGAGUACAGUAGAGGUGGGCGGAAUUCGUGGUGUAGCGGUGAAAUGCGUAGAUAUCACGAAGAACUCCGAUUGCGAAGGCAGUUCACUGGACUGCAACUGACACUGAGGCUCGAAAGUGUGGGUAUCAAACAGGAUUAGAUACCCGUGUAGUC